rnacentral:rRNA from 1 species
UACGUAGGUGGCAAGCGUUGUCCGGAAUUAUUGGGCGUAAAGCGCGCGCAGGCGGUCCUUUAAGUCUGAUGCGAAAGCCCACGGCUCAACCGUGGAGGGUCAUUGGAAACUGGGGGACUUGAGUGCAGAAGAGGAAAGCGGAAUUCCACGUGUAGCGGUGAAAUGCGUAGAGAUGUGGAGGAACACCAGUGGCGAAGGCGCUUUCUGGUCUGUAACUGACGCUGAGGCGCGAAAGCGUGGGGAGCAAACAGG